rnacentral:rRNA from 1 species
UACGUAGGGGGCAAGCGUUGUCCGGAUUUAUUGGGCGUAAAGGGCUCGUAGGCGGUCUGUCACGUCGGGAGUGAAAACACGGGGCUUAACCCCGUGCCUGCUUCCGAUACGGGCAGACUAGAGGUAUGCAGGGGAGAACGGAAUUCCUGGUGUAGCGGUGAAAUGCGCAGAUAUCAGGAGGAACACCGGUGGCGAAGGCGGGUCUCUGGGCCGAUACUGACGCUGAGGAGCGAAAGCGUGGGGAGCGAACAGG